CCUGCGGAAGGAUCAUUGUCGAAAUCGAACGGAAGAACGACCCGCGAAUCGUCAUUGCGUACUAGACAGAGCCCGUGAGCACCUAACGCUCAUGGGACUCGCGUCGCGUCGGCGUGGGUGUACUCGAGACCAGCGUCGUACCGGCGGACAAACAACGUCAGCACGGAUCGUGCCAAGGAGCUGCAUGGAGAGAAUCGUCGUCCCACGCCUUUGAUAGUCCUCGAUGCGGGACGGGGGGCGGGGGAUGUACGCAAUCUCUACUAAAGUCUAAACGACUCUCGGCAACGGAUAUCUCGGCUCUUGCAUCGAUGAAGAACGUAGCGAAAUGCGAUACUUGGUGUGAAUUGCAGAAUCCCGCGAACCAUCAAUUCUUUGAACGCAAGUUGCGCCCGAAGCCAUUCGGCCGAGGGCACGCCUGCCUGGGUGUCGUGAAUCCCCUUGCCCCUAGGCACCCGCAUGAGCAUUGGCGGGGAUAUAUGCUCGGGCGCAGAAUAUGGUCUCCCGUGGGAUCGGCAUGCACGGCAUGUCGAGGUGCGGUUGGCCGAAAAUCGAGCAAUGGCUGUGACGGGCACCACGGCGUUCGGUGGAUCGAAUGAGAUUGGCUGCGCCGUGGGCUCGGCAUUAGGCGGGCUCCGGACUUUGAGUAUCCCCGA
rnacentral:rRNA from 1 species